CCCAUUGAGCCAUCUCUCCAGCCCUACAAGAUCUGGAAGACUGAUAGAAAGCAAUGUGACAGACAAGGUGGUUUCUGCAGUGUGGGUAUGAGGAUACCCACAGAAAUUGCUAACCAAAGAAGUUUGUCUCAGCUUCAGUGACCUGGAUUCAGUGACAGUGUCCUGAGGAGGAAAAGACAGAACAGAUGCUCACUCGAUGCCUCAGGAACUUUUCAGCCCGAAUGUCAUUGGACCCACCUGUCAUCUGCCUCUGCCUUUUGCUGUCAGGCUAUCCAUGACUUUAAGGUAGGUCACCUUUCUUUGAUAUUCUGCCUCUUUAUAGGUU
rnacentral:lncRNA from 1 species